rnacentral:lncRNA from 1 species
CUCUUCACCAUCAUGCCCACUUCACCUUCAUGCCCUCUUCACCCGCUCUCUCUCUAUCAUGCCCACUUCACCCGCUCUCUUCAUCAUCAUGCUCUCUUCACCAUCAUGCCCACUUCAUCAUCAUGCCCUCUUCACCCGCUCUCUCUCUAUCAUGCCCUCUUCACCCGCUCUCUCUUCACCCGCUCUCUCUUCACUAUCAUGCCCACUUCACCCGCUCUCUCUCUAUCAUGCCCUCUUCACCCGCUCUCUCUUCACCCGCUCUCUCUUCACUAUCAUGCCCACUUCACCCGCUCUCUCUCUAUCAUGCCCUCUUCACCCGCUCUCUCUUCACCCGCUCUCUCUUCACUAUCAUGCCCACUUCACCCGCUCUCUCUCUUGUCCUCCCAGCAGAACCAGAGUGGCAAAGAUUACUGGCACCGUCACAGACUCAGCGAUCACCAUGACAACAACACAGAUGAAGAUGACUAUGCCGUUCCGGAGGAAGACUACGACGACGGGAUAGUGCACAUUCAGCCAGCGAAACACUGCCCCACUAACACGGAGUAUGCAGACCGGAGACCAGACCACAGACCACUCCCCUGUGUUCCAGUCAGAGGAGAUGACAAAUUCAACACUCCCCCAAGGCCUCCAAAGAGGGUGAUCCCAGGACCCGCAGUUAACAGAGCAUGCAAGCCAGGCAGAGAGGCCAAAACUAAGACAGAAGGGUUCCCUAAGAGCAGAGCUCCUGAGACCAAUCAGGUAGAACGCAAAAUGCAUUUGUUUUCAUUGGGCCUGCCCUGGACACAGAAUUGUAAAAUAUUUAAAACGCAAAAGGUUUCAAUAUUGAGUUUCAUUAUUUGCUCUAUCUGCAUAUUUUCUAGAAUCUAA